UACGGGGGGGGCAAGCGUUGUUCGGAAUUACUGGGCGUAAAGGGUUUGUAGGGGGCUUGUUAAGUCAGACGUGAAAUCCCUCAGCUUAACUGGGGAACUGCGUCUGAUACUGGCGAGCUUGAGUGCAGGAGAGGAACGCGGAAUUCCAGGUGUAGCGGUGAAAUGCGUAGAUAUCUGGAGGAACACCGGUGGCGAAGGCGGCGUUCUGGACUGCAACUGACACUGAGAAACGAAAGCCAGGGUAGCAAACGGG
rnacentral:rRNA from 1 species